rfam:Dipodomys ordii contig_49629, whole genome shotgun sequence.
GGAAAUGUGGCUUAGAGGUAGAGUGCUUGCCUAGCAUGCAUGAGGCCCUGGGUUCGAUUCCUCAGUAUUAACA